rnacentral:rRNA from 1 species
CCCUUAGAUGUUCUGGGCCGCACGCGUGCUACACUGAGUGGAUCAGCGGGUCAGGUUGCGCGAAAGCGUUUCCUAAUCUUUAAAUCCGCUCGUGAUGGGGAUUGACGGUUGCAAUUUUCUGUCAUGAACGAGGAAUACCUUGUAAGCGCGGGUCAUCAUCCCGCGCUGAAUACGUCCCUGCCCUUUGUACACACCGCCCGUCGCUCCUACCGAUUGAGUGGUCCGGUGAGGCUUUGGGAUCUGAGCGGAAAGAGCGUUUCGCUGUUUCUGCUCGGAAAACUCAGUCGAACCUUAUCAUUUAGAGGAAGGAGAAGGCGUAACA